AGUAGAUGCCUAUGAAUAGUCAAGAAUGUACAAGUCUUUCUCCACUGCAAUUUCCUAGCAUUUCCAAACAUUACAAACUCCUCCUCUCUCUCACUCUCUCUGCCUACUGAAUUGUAUUGCUAAGCAAGUUUAGUUUUCAUCAAACCAAACAAAAUGAAGCAAAAGGUGGUUAUCAGACUAUCUUUGAGUGGGAAUGAUCAGAAAUGUCGGACCAAGGCCUUCAAAGUAGCUGUUUCUCAGCCAGGUGUGGAAUUAGCAGCUAUGACAGGGUAAUGGUAGCCUCAUCGGUGCGGAGAAGAAAUGUGUGCAUCUCCGAUCGCCAUCUCUCAAUCAAGGCCGUCACUAGCGACCUAUCGUGCUGUACCCGACCAACAUCGAUGCACCGGUAGAUACCGCCCCGACGUAGUAUAUUCAGGACGCAAGGAUAUGGGGGGCGAGCAGCUAAGAUCUCCCAUGCUGAGUCUCCCAACCGGGUUCAGACCUGAGCCUCAGCCUGUAGGUCGGAUGUCCUAAUAUCUUUGCGACCUAUGCUCCCGCUGAAGAUAUAGUACCUCUCGGUCGAAGGGCCCCGGAUCAAGAGGGUGGUGAUCCAUCUGUUUUAUGCAUUUUAAAUCAAUCAUUAACAAGUAGUAUUAGUUAUGUUAUCUUUUAUCGAAAAUUAUAUUAAGGAUUGUGGUGAUCCAUCUGUUUUAUGCAUUUUAAAUCAAUCAUUAACAAUUAGUAUUUGUUAUGUAAUCUUUGAUCGAAAAUUAUAUUAAGGAUUGUGGUGAUC